GUUAAAUUUUAGACGGUUUUCGUGAAAAACGAAAGUGGCCGCAUUCGUGUUCAUCCUUAAUAUUGAAAUGUAAGUUGUAUUUUAUGAUAAUACAUAACAUAUAUAAAGGUUGAGGAUGAACACGGAUGCGGCCACUUUCAUUUUUGACAAAAACCAUCUGAAAAGUGACAUUUUUCGGCAUAUUUGGUAGAUUUUUCAUAUUUCAGCUUGAAUCGGUGCGUUUUUUAUGAAUAAAUCAGUUAAAAUCUUUCACAUAAACUAAUUGAUUCAAAUAAAAUAGACACUUAAGUGUUUAAAAAGGGGUCAAAAUCUUUCUUCAGAUGAACCUGAAAUUUGAGGCCAAAAUCGGUCCUUACCGGACCUACUCCUUUGA
rnacentral:lncRNA from 1 species